rnacentral:rRNA from 1 species
UACAGAGACGGCAAGCGUUGUUCGGAUUCAUUGGGCGUAAAGGGUGCGUAGGCGGUGAGGUAAGUCGGAUGUGAAAUCCCAAAGCUUAACUUUGGAAGUGCAUCCGAAACUCCCUCGCUUGAGGACUGGAGGGGAGACUGGAAUUCUCGGUGUAGCGGUGAAAUGCGUAGAUAUCGAGAGGAACACCAGUGGCGAAGGCGGGUCUCUUGACAGUUCCUGACGCUGAGGCACGAAAGCUAGGGUAGCAAACGGG